UACGUUCCCGGGCUUGUACACACCGCCCGUCACACCACGAAAGUCGGCAACACCCGAAGCCGGUGGCCUAACCGCAAGGAAGGAGCCGUCGAAGGUGGGGUCGGUGAUUGGGGUG
rnacentral:rRNA from 1 species